ACUAUUCUAUAAGAGGGAGGUGAACCAAACAGGAGGUCAACAUGCAUGCCUAGCGUAAAUGAGGGAAAAUUGGGAUUUCUUUUUGCUUCCUCACAUCUUCGUUGUUCUUGCCUCUAUCUAUAAUCCGAAGGAGCUCGCUCUUUCCACUUCCACUGAUUUCAGGUAAAAAAGAUAGGUGCUUCAAUUUGCAUAGCUGAUGGAUUCAAAAGAACCAAACAAAUAUCUAUAUGCAGAAAAAAUGAAGGUUGCAAUGCAACUCAAACGACGUGAUACAUAUAGUCAAAUAUCUUCUGAUAAAAGAGAGGAGUUGUUGCUGACGCGCCAUAUUAAAAACAAGAUUCUGCGAAACAUAGCCUUACAAAAUGACACAAGAAGGUCAUAUCAUUGGGACUACUAUCAUGGACAGAACAAGAGAGUCUUCAACUGGCAUUUUAUGUGAACUUAUGCGAAUGAUAAGAUUUCUUGGCCAAAGUUUCAGCUUUUUAAGUAUACUGAAAUGAUCAGCUCCAAUGGUCUUCGUCUUGCUCACCAGCUUGCUCGCUGCACUUUUUCUUCAGUAUUGUCUGCUCUCGCACUCUCUCUCUUUCCAUUUCUUCUUAGCAGUUGUAUAUUGAUGUGUGAGCAACAUUAACUUUGUGAAGGUGGUCCCGACAGUGUACAACCGGGGCUUGUUUUAUUACAAUUCAAAGAAUGAUAUGUGCAAAUUGGCCUUUUGUUUGUGUUUUUUUGCUUAAAUUGUAACUAUAGAUGCAUAGUUUAUUUCCUUUCAUAUAUUUUUGAAUUUGAUUUAUGUUAUUGUGUGAGUUAUAGG